rnacentral:lncRNA from 13 species
AUGUGGGCUCAGGAGUGGAGAAUGAUGACACAUGUGCAACACAUGCACCAGACUCAAUCUGAUCCAACUUGCUUGUUUUACAGAAGGAAAAACAGCACUCCAAAAUGGAAGAUUGUGUGCCCAAAAUCGCUUUGCAGGGUUAGAUCUUCCUUCAAACUAAACCUGAGUCCUAUAGUGGUAAAGGAAAGAGAAAAGGGAGUUCCCCAAAUGACUGGAGCAAAAGGCAGCCUAGGUGAGUCUUUCUUCUGUUUUGCUGUAUCUAGGGCCCUUUGCCUGACUUCCCUGACCUGCCUCAGGAUUGGUUCAGAGACAGGUAUGUGAAAAAGUUCUGGCCAAUGAUAGGCAGAUUCAGGAUUUUGUUGAACAUCUCGGAGAGAGAAACUCACUCACUUCCUUUGACAGAAUCUGAAAGUUAGAGAAUGUUCUACUACUACUGCCAACUGCUGUUACUACUACUGCCCAUGAAACUUGGGACUUAAGCCAAUAAUAGCAGAAGACAGCCAAGAAAUGGAGAGAAACUGAGUCCUGAUAAUCCCUUUGAGUCCUGAAUCUGGCUUUGCCCAGUGCUACUUUCCAGUUUGUAUAAGCCCAUGAAUUCCCUUUUUGUUUAAGCCAGUUUAGGUUAGGAUUUUGUUACUUGCAAAUUAAAGUGACUUGAUGAUAUAGAGAUCCGGUAUCAAAAAGAAGCAAGCAAAAUCAAGAAACACCUAAAUUUAAACGAGGCAUAAGCAAAUCAGAGAAGAAGUCUAGGAUGAAGAAUCAGUGUAACAGCCUGUUGAACCGAGAAAUUUCUACAAAUUGAACCACAGAAUCGUGAUGUACCUUCAGAUGAAAGUAACUAAACAAACAAGUGAAACAUCUAAAUAUGCACCGUGGACAUAUCUGUUCAAUUGGGGAGUUUCAAGAGAAAACUAGAAAAAAGUGUCUGAAUUCAAGACAGCAGCUUUGAUAGGCACAGGGAGCAGGGAUUGAGAACUCUCCUUGGGAAAUUGGCUGAGGAGGCAGCUGUUUUAUAUCUUCCCUGAUCAGAAAAAGCAUGGGUCCGCCUGCUAAAUGUUGAACAAGGAUGCUUGCAACAACUGCAUUAUUUAGGGCUUCUGUGGGUUCUUAUUUGAGAAGUUUUCCCAAACUCAGGAAGGUGCCUGUAGGGCCAGAAAUAAAGGGGUGUGAUUCUUCUAGCA